UGAGGAAUAUUGGUCAAUGGGCGCAAGCCUGAACCAGCCAUCCCGCGUGAAGGAAGAAUGCGCUAUGCGUUGUAAACUGCUUUUCCAGGGGGAGAAUAUUUCUGUCGUGACAGGAAUUGACGGUACCCUGGGAAUAAGCAUCGGCUAACUCCGUGCCAGCAGCCGCGGUAAUACGGAGGAUGCGAGCGUUAUCCGGAUUUAUUGGGUUUAAAGGGUGCGUAGGCGGAUAGAUAAGUACGUGGUGAAAACCUGCAGCUUAACUGUAGACUUGCCGUUGAUACUGUCAGUCUUGAGUAUGGUCAAGGUAGGCGGAAUGUGUAAUGUGGCGGUGAAAUGCUUAGAUAUUACACAGAACACCGAUUGCGAAGGCAGCUUGCUGGGCCAUUACUGACGCUGAUGCACGAAAGCGUGGGGAUCGAACA
rnacentral:rRNA from 1 species